AUUGAACGCUGGCGGCAUGCUUUACACAUGCAAGUCGAACGGUAACAGGCCUUCGGGUGCUGACGAGUGGCGCACGGGUGAGUAAUGCAUCGGAACGUACCCAGAGGUGGGGGAUAACGCAGCGAAAGCUGUGCUAAUACCGCAUGUGAUCUGAGGAUGAAAGCGGGGGACCGAGCAGCAAUGUUUGGCCUCGCGCCUUUGGAGCGGCCGAUGUCGGAUUAGCUAGUUGGUGGGGUAAAGGCCUACCAAGGCGACGAUCCGUAGCUGGUCUGAGAGGACGACCAGCCACACUGGGACUGAGACACGGCCCAGACUCCUACGGGAGGCAGCAGUGGGGAAUUUUGGACAAUGGGCGCAAGCCUGAUCCAGCAAUGCCGCGUGCGAGAAGAAGGCCUUCGGGUUGUAAACCGCUUUUGGCAGGAACGAAACGGUGUCCGCUAAUACCGGGCGCUAAUGACGGUACCUGCAGAAUAAGCACCGGCUAACUACGUG
rnacentral:rRNA from 1 species